rnacentral:rRNA from 1 species
UACGUAGGGUGCGAGCGUUAAUCGGAAUUACUGGGCGUAAAGCGUGCGCAGGCGGUUCGUUAAGACAGGUGUGAAAUCCCCGGGCUCAACCUGGGAAUGGCACUUGUGACUGGCGGGCUGGAGUACGGCAGAGGGAGGUGGAAUUCCACGUGUAGCAGUGAAAUGCGUAGAGAUGUGGAGGAACACCGAUGGCGAAGGCAGCCUCCUGGGCCAGUACUGACGCUCAUGCACGAAAGCGUGGGGAGCAAACAGG